rnacentral:lncRNA from 1 species
CAAUCUUCUUAGGGUCUCUUCCCCUUGCCAAGGGUCACUCCAUGUGAAAAUCUGGUUGGGCAACAUAAAUAAUAGACGGUUCGUGUUUAGUGGCGUGCAAAAAAUGAGCUUAUCCAAACGUGAUCCUUGAACUUGCAACUUGGGCAGUCAAGGACUCGAAUUUCUAAAGUUUUUUCGAUCAAACUUUCCUUUGGCUCUCUCUCCGAAGGAAUGAAAGAUUGAGGCUGAAGUGUCUGUACGUGCCAGAUGGAAGUGUGAAGCGGAAAGAAUAGGGGCAACUUUAGAAUUAAAAGCUCUUGAUACUUUUUUUUUUUUUUGUGAGAUAAAGAAACUUGAAGUGUUCUAACUUUUGUAUAGUAAUCAUUUUAGUAUCAAAACCUAUUGACGUAUCACUUUAGUUCUACUUUGAUUAAAAAAGAAAAAAAAUGCUAUUGCUAAUUUAGGAUAUCGGAAAUUCAAUAUGACAAUAUUUUAACAUUUCUUCCAACUGAUGUGAUUUGUUAGAAAUCCGACAUGGUAAUAUUUCAGCAUAAAUACUCUACAAGACUUUGCUACCCAAAUUUAAUAAAAUUCGGGAAAGAUCUUGCCAAUUUUUCCUUCUUCUUCAAACCCUAAUUCAAAUCGCAAUAUUUCGCAACAAAAUUAAGAACUCAAUCUUGCAAUGGAGAGUAGAAGCAGGAUAAGUGGCUCAUGUUUGCAUCAACAAAGUCAAGAUGAAGGUGAAUAUUACUAUUAUUGUGAGCUCAAAAGUACAAGACCAACUUUGACAAGUUUGAUUCCAAGAAGAUUUCAUGGAUGUACUAGGUAUAAAGAAGACUUGAAGUUCGAAUAUUUCAAAUAUGUUGAUGCAAAAUUUUUAAGUUAAGCAACAUAGGUGAUCUUAGAGCUACCAAUGGUGUCAUGGCCUAAUUUUCGAGUGCAACGGCUAAUGGACUACUAAGUCAUUAGCCUACUAAGUCUAAACUUCUCUCAAACUCAUACCAAUUUGCGAUUUAGUUCAAAUUUUUUAACAUGCAAAUGGAUUUUAUCUAGAAAAUCAGUUCUAAUCUAAAUGACAUGCAAAUGCAAUUUUUUGUAUUUUUAAGAUAAAUAAAGCAAUUAAAAGAUAAGCACCAAAUCAUUCACGGUCAUCAAAAAUAUUAUCCAUCAUUCGAAUUUGGAAGCGAUAUCUAAUCAAACCUGAUUAUUUUGCUAAUAAAAUCAAUAAAUUGAUCUUAGCCUUAAAGAUCAAAAUAUCGAUUUUAUUUCCACAUGAUUAAUUAUUUUAUCUAAAGCCUUAUAGAUGGAAUAAAAAAUCGGUGCGUGGUUGCGAAUUAGGCAAUAAACCCUAAUUGGAAAUACACCUAUCAUUCUGUUAAAUUUUUUUUGGAUUGUGUGUUUGCACUGCGGAAGCAUUGGUUUUGGUAUUAGUUAUACUUUUUGGUUAGUGAUGUGUGCAAGUGUAUGGUGUAGUUUGUAGAAGAUGGACAAUGAAUAAACUAGGAUAAUUGAAGGACAAAGAACAUGGGAUAUGGGAAAUAGUUUCAUUAGUUGGAUAAAAUAAUUUUAGUGUUGGUGAGGGAGCAUGAUGUGGUUUUUAUGCUUAGCUCCCACACCAAAACAUGGAGCACUUGCUCCUUUAUAUAGGCUGCCAAAGUAGGUGGAGGAAGUCUCUAGACUUCUCUACAAAUAGCUACUAACAUAAGAUGGAGAAUUCUAGAAUACACAAGAGAUGGCAGCUUGUAGACUCUUCUAGAAUUUUUCUUGAAUUUUCUAGCUCAAAUCUAUCUUGAAGUUUCUAGAAUUGGAUCACAAAUUCCAACACAUUCAAAUAUGCACGUAAGAUAUUGAAAAACAUGUAUUAAGCAAUAAAAUAUCCAAACCAAAUUUAGAUGAGAUAAUUACCUAAUUUCGUAAAUAGUAUUACCAAAUUUGAACUCAAUGGAAUUGGCUCGACGGAUGAUCGGCAGGCGAGACUUGGCACUAUGAAGAGAUGGUGCUAUGACACCGAAGGUUGCUAGACGGGUGGUGCAGGCCCAGCGAUUACGACGUGCUGGUGCUGCUCACAGUGGCCCAGCGAUUCCUCCUUCGCCUCUUUCAUGAAAGAGGCUCUCUCCUUUGUUGUUUUUGUCUUUUUGUCUUUUUGUAUUAUUCUUUUCUAUCAACUCUCAGCCAUUGAUAGUGCCGCAGUGUAGGAUGGAAGCUUUGAUGCUCACCAGAGAAGACAAAAAGCUUGGUGGUCGCAAGAGAGAUAUUCAACAAACCUGUAAAACCGAAUCAAAUUUCAAUGGGAAGGACUGAAAUCGUGGGGGUCGCUGGAAAUUGAAGAACAGAUGUGGGAAGGCGUUGGCUUCUCGUUGGAAUCAUCUGGAACAGAGAUGUCGGAGAUGCAGGAGCGAGCCGGGACUGCUUCUAUGUUUGCUGGAUUCGCUGGACGUCUUGGCUGAGCAGCUUUCAGUAGUGGCAGGUCCAGCAGCAACUAAUCGUCAUUGAAAGUUCGGCAACGAUGCAAGAAGGCAGCAGCGAAUCACCAGGAGCUCGAGGUGCAGCAGGGACCCGUGACGGUGCAAAGUGCAGGCGUUGGGGCUUGCCGAUGGGGUUUCGCAGCGGUGGCGCUCUUGUCAGCACGGCAAGUCGUCGAGAUGGAGUAGCGGUAAUAGGCGGCGCCGGAAUGUACACACGACCGUGGGAUGUUCGGCCGCAAACCACUCAGCCGUCGUAUCCCUCCCUCCUCUUUUCCUGGCGUCUCUUUCAAUGUGUUCUCCUUAAAAUUGCAACGAUGGUCGGGCGUUAAUAAUUGCAAGAACAGCGUGGGGCACGACAGCUACAGUCUUGGCUUACGUGACCUGCAGUGAACAAGCAAAGGAACUCUCUCUCUUCCUCCAAUUCUCCGGCCCUGUAUUCUAUUGUGUGGAAGCGUUCCUUUUAUACGUCAACGGGCAGGGUUACGAAGAAAGAAAGCAAAUCGUAUUUCCUCUUCUGAUUGCUUAAAAGAUAUCAUGAUUUGUCCUUUUCUUCCCUCCUUUUGACCGUGAGUCCAUCUUUUGGCGAUUCAUGCAUAUUUCUUUCCUUUUGAUCGUGUAUGCUGUAUAAUCUUUAUCGAUUCUAUUUCUUUCAACUAAAUAUCAGCUCACGAGUUGUUCAAUUC